UGGGAGGCAGAGAGUGAACACACCUUGGUUCCCAUGACACCCCUGCUGCCCUCACCUCCUGUCCAGUGAGCAGAGGACUCAUGCCCACAUCCUCUCUGCUCCCCAGGCCCUCGCUGCCUUCCCGGGGCUGUGUGGAGGGUGCCCGUGGUGCUGACUCUGGCCACUCACUCUUGGUUGCCACCUGCUGAGCCGUCCAGGCAGGGAUCUGAGUCAUUCUGACCCGGCCCGCCCGUCAGAUGCCACAGAAGUCAGACUGGUGGCCCUAGGGCAGCUGGAGCCUGAGAGAGCAGGCAAAGGGUCCAGGCAGGGAUCACUGCACGUCAAGCCGUGGAUGGCUCCCGCCCUGAACCGCCAUGUCACUGUCCUGAAUGAACUUGGUGUGCAAUUUGACUACCCAAAAAGAAAGGAGGAAGAGGAACCCACAGCAAACCUCACAUAACCCCAAAAGGGGAUUUCAGAUUUCAACCCGUGCCUUUCAUCCACAGCAGGGCGGACUUGCCACUGUGCUGCUUGGCAAACACUUCUCCCGUUUCCUCCCCGGGAGCACCCUCUGCUGUGAAGACCGGGCAAGUCCUCCAGCUUGUCUGCCUGCCUCUCCAGCUGGAGUUAGGGCCUGGCCUGAUGGGCAUGAAGGGGUGGAAGCGCCUCCAGGUUGACUUUGAAAGGAUGAAAGCAAGGUCUGGAGAGGACAGGGGUGGGCCCUGGACUCUCAGAGUGGGUCUCUCUGCACCAUGCCACUCUGCCCUCUUCCAGAAGAGCUGGGAGUCAAGGGAGGGGGCCAGAACCUCCAUCUGACCAGCACAGAAGGGACUGUCAGAUUAAAGGACUGCUGCCAAGACGAGGGGUCUGAAUGAGGUACUGGUGUUCUGCAAUCAAAGGAAACACACACACACACACUGGCAUUACUCAAGAGAGGUGUGACCUCUGGACUACCUUCCCCGAAUGAAGGGGCCUAGAGAACUGAGAGUUGGAAGCAAAUCCAUCACAGAGACUAAGAGGCUUGAGGCAUUGGGGUGGUCACAGCGCAGGAGCCCUGACUGUAUUCCUGCAACCCUCGGGGUGAGCCACCAGAUCCCUUCCAAGAUCAAGGCCCUCUCUCGGGCUGCUGGGAGUGUUGGUUUCUGACUACUCGUAGCUGUGUCCUUCUCGGGAAGUGCCCUUAUCCAAAGGAGACUGCCUAAGCUUAUGCCCCACCUCGGGCAUGGGCCACAUUCAGUGGCUGCCCCAGUAGGGGUGCAGGGCCCUGUGCCCCCUUGCCUUGAUCUGGGACAUCUGAAGGGCCACCUGGCUCUCAAGCUUUCCAGGCUGAGACCAUGUCAGGACUGCACCAGAGUUCAGCGUCUGCCUCUGCCCGAUCCCGCCCUCUCCUCCCUGAGAGCUCUCCCCAGUAAAACUCCUGCACACACAUCUGAGUCUGCUUCCUGGGACCUUGACCUAUUUUGCUCAUCUGUCAUUCUUUCACCCAUUUGUCCUUUUUAACAGUCACUUACUGAGCACCCACCAGGCAUGGCCAAUGAAUGGACCAGGGAGGAUUUCUGCACUCCUUCCCAGAGCUCUGUCUGUGGCCUUGAAGACUCCUUCCUCAUAUUCUAUGCAGCAAGAAAACAGAAGCAGGCAUCCCACCCCCACCACUGGGAUUCCUGGGAGAAGUGGGCUGUUUUAAGCCAGAAUCCCCCUGGGAAUCCUGCGGGCAUGCGAUAGCUGGUAGAUGCAGCAUGUAGCCUACUCCAACCCCACAGUUACCUCAUGAAGAAA